GAUGGACGCUGGCGGCGUGCCUAAUACAUGCAAGUCGAGCGAACAGAUGAGGAGCUUGCUCCUCUGACGUUAGCGGCGGACGGGUGAGUAACACGUGGAUAACCUACCUAUAAGACUGGGAUAACUUCGGGAAACCGGAGCUAAUACCGGAUAAUAUAUUGAACCGCAUGGUUCAAUAGUGAAAGACGGUUUUGCUGUCACUUAUAGAUGGAUCCGCGCCGCAUUAGCUAGUGGUAAGGUAACGGCUUACCAAGGCAACGAUGCGUAGCCGACCUGAGAGGGUGAUCGGCCACACUGGAACUGAGACACGGUCCAGACUCCUACGGGAGGCAGCAGUAGGGAAUCUUCCGCAAUGGGCGAAAGCCUGACGGAGCAACGCCGCGUGAGUGAUGAAGGUCUUCGGAUCGUAAAACUCUGUUAUUAGGGAAGAACAAAUGUGUAAGUAACUAUGCACGUCUUGACGGUACCUAAUCAGAAAGCCACGGCUAACUACGUG
rnacentral:rRNA from 1 species